ACCUGGCUAGCUCAGUUCGUAGAGCCUCAGACUUCUAAUCUGCCGGUCCAGGGUUCAAGUCCCUGGUCAGGUG